GUAGGUGAACCUGCGGAAGGAUCAUUAAAAGUGAUUGGUUAUACAUUUCAUGUAUCAACUGCAUAAACCCAUUCCGAGUAUCUUGCCUGUUGCUUCCAUGGGGCCUGACCUCGGUCACUCUUGUGAUGUGAAAUUCCAGAGAGUCCCCAUGGGAGGUAAUCAUUAAAUUCAUGUAUCCAAUGUCUUCUGUCUGAACUGUUUAUGACAAAUGUUAAAACUUUCAACAACGGAUCUCUUGGUUCUCGCAUCG
rnacentral:misc_RNA from 1 species